GACGAACGCUGGCGGCGUGCUUAACACAUGCAAGUCGAACGGAAAGGCCCUGCUUUUGUGGGGUGCUCGAGUGGCGAACGGGUGAGUAACACGUGAGUAACCUGCCCUUGACUUUGGGAUAACUUCAGGAAACUGGGGCUAAUACCGGAUAGGAGCUCCUGCUGCAUGGUGGGGGUUGGAAAGUUUCGGCGGUUGGGGAUGGACUCGCGGCUUAUCAGCUUGUUGGUGGGGUAGUGGCUUACCAAGGCUUGGACGGGUAGCCGGCCUGAGAGGGUGACCGGCCACAGUGGGACUGAGAUACGGCCCAGACUCCUACGGGAGGCAGCAGUGGGAAAUAUUGCACAAUGGGCGGAAGCCUGAUGCAGCAACGCCGCGUGCGGGAUGACGGCCUUCGGGUUGUAAACCGCUUUCGCCUGUGACGAAGCGUGAGUGACGGUAAUGGGUAAAGAAGCACCGGCUAACUACGUG
rnacentral:rRNA from 1 species